rnacentral:tRNA from 1 species
GGGAGUAUGACCGAGUGUACGAAGGUAGCAGACUGCAAACCUGUUUGAGAAAUCACAUCGCGAGUUAGAAUCUUCGCUACUCCCUCCA